rnacentral:rRNA from 1 species
GACGAACGCUGGCGGCAUGCCUAAUACAUGCAAGUCGAGCGGAGUUGACGAGAAGCUUGCUUCUCUGAUGCUUAGCGGCGGACGGGUGAGUAACACGUAGGCAACCUGCCUUUCAGCCCUGGGAUAACUUCCGGAAACGGAUGCUAAUACCGGAUACAUCAUCUUCCGGCAUCGGAGGAUGAGGAAAGACGGCGCAAGCUGUCACUGAGAGAUGGGCCUGCGGCGCAUUAGCUAGUUGGUGGGGUAAUGGCCCACCAAGGCGACGAUGCGUAGACGACCGGAGAGGGUGAACGGCCACACUGGGACUGGGACACGGCCCAGACUCCUACGGGAGGCAGCAGUAGGGAAUCUUCCACAAUGGGCGAAAGCCUGAUGGAGCAAUGCCGCGUGAGUGAUGAAGGUUUUCGGAUCGUAAAGCUCUGUUGCCAGGGAAGAACGUCCAGUAGAGUAACUGCUACUGGAGUGACGGUACCUGAGAAGAAAGCCCCGGCUAACUACGUGCCAGCCGCCGCGGUAA